GCGCGGGUGGUCCAGCGGCAAGACCCAGGCCUUCCAAGCCUGAGACGCGGGUUCGACUCCCGCCCCGCGCA
rnacentral:tRNA from 1 species